GGCUACGACAGAGGAUGUAAUUCUCCAUGUGGAAACUAGGAAGAGGAUUUUGCUGAAACAAGUUCUAUGGACCUCGUAACAUGGUGUGAUCAACUGAACUCAAAUACUAAACAUCCCAGAACUGCAAGAAAAAGCAUGCGGCAGCUCCACGCAGCACAUUCAGCCAGAGGUCAUGUGCAUUCUUAAUGAGGUCGUCUACCCUCUGCUUACAUGGGAAGCAAUAUGAAACUUCAGUGAGAGUUUUAAUUGCUAACCAUGGUUUAUAGCCUUGGAUGAGUUGGAGAAAGCUUUAUAAUAAUGUACAUCUAGGCUUACCAGGCAAUCGUGAUUAUAUAAGAGGUUGUAAUUAGUAAAAAGGCUGGAAAAUGCGUCUCCAUUUCUACAGCUUCCAUACAAUAAAUCCUGAUACAGUUUCUCAAUCUGAAAUUUACUUUUUUCUCUCUUUUGG